rnacentral:rRNA from 1 species
AGUGAACGCUGGCGGCAGGCCUAACACAUGCAAGUCGAACGACAGCACAGUAAGAUCUUGCCUUUACGGUUGGCGACUGGCGGACGGGUGACGAAUACAUCAGCUUCUUCUUUUUCGUGGGUGAUAACGUAGGGACACUUAUGCUACUACCGCAUAUGUCCUACGGCUGGAAUCAGUGGUUCUUCAGACCUUGCCUGACUCUAUUAGCUGAUGUCGGAUUAGCUAGUUGGCUGGGUAAAGGCCCACCAAGGCAACGAUCCGUAGCUGGUCUGAGAGGAUGAUCGGCCACACUGGAACUGAGACACGGUCCAGACUCCUACGGGAGGCAGCAGUAGGGAAUCUUGGGCAAUGGGCGCAAGCCUGACGGAGCAAUGCCGCGUGGGUGAAGAAGGCCUUCGGGUUGUAAAGCCCUGUUAUUGGGAAAGAAAAGCCGCAGAUGAAUCCCCCGAUGUUUUGACGGUACCUAAAGAGAAAGCACCGGCUAACUUCGUG